CCUGGGGCCGUCACCAAGGAAGGGACUUCCGAAUUGGGCAGCCGGUUUGUUCUGUGGAGAGAAGGAAGGAGCUCCCUCUGGCUCCCCGUGGAGGGCCAGCUGGAGGAGCAGAGACCAGUGAUGUGGAUGUUGCAAUAGUCCUGGCCAGCAAGGAUGAGCUCGGAAUGAAGGCAACGGCAGUGGGAGAGAACAAAGUCACGGGAUCGCAUGGAUGAGGGAGAGGGAGGAGUCCAGGCGCUGCCCGCAUCUGUCCCCAGGAAUCAGGCCCCUGCUGGGCUCUGUGGCAUGGAGGUGCUGGCCUACAGAGGGAGACAGAUGGAGGGUCCUGGGAGCCAUAGCUGACAUCUAGAAGAAUGGACCACUCCACCGAGGAGGUGGGGACACUGUGGUAAAGAAGCGGCUAUGGAGGGUGCCAAGGCCAUUCAAUGGGGAGAGAAGAAUCUUUCAACAAAUGGUGCUGGGACAACUGGAUACACACAUGCAAAAGAAUGAAGUUGGACCCCUACUUCACAUCAUAUACAAAAAUUAACUUUAAAUAGAUUGAAGACCUAAAUGUAAGAACUAAACUGUAGGACAAAAGAAAACAUAGAGGUAAACCUUCAUGACCUCAAAUUUGGCAAUGGUUUCUCAGCUAUGGCACCGAAAUCACAAGUGACAAAAGAAAAAGAUAGAUGCCCAGCCAGCGUGGCUCAGUGGUUGAGUGUCAACCUUUGAACCAAGAGGUCAAAGUUCAAUUCCCAGUCAGGGCACAUACCCAGGUUGCAGGCUCGAUCCCCAGAGUGGGGGGUGCAGGAAGCAGCCAAUCAAUGAUUCUGUCUCAUCAUUGAUGUUUCUAUCUCUCCCUCUCCUUUCCUCUCUGAAAUCAAUAAGCAUAUUUUUAAGUGAGAAAAAAAUAGA